UUCUUGUCAACGCCUCGUUCACCGCCCCCAGUGAAUCGUCUGGUCGCUGCUUCCUCUUUCACCUCCGAUAUGCCUCCGCCUCCACCUCCACCUACACCUCAUAUUCCUCUUCCUUCUUCUCUGCCUUUCUUUAUCUCUUCCUCCUACCCCGUCUCAUCUUCCUUCUCCGCUCCACAUAUUCCUGCCCCUAUGCAAGUCCUCCUCGCUCCUUUUCCCCCCUUUCUUGGUCUGGAAAGCAUCGGUCCAUACCCAGUGUCAGGAUAUUGAUCUGUAUCGAAAGCGUACUAGUUUGGCCGCUUAUCGGUAUUGACACCAGAUAACAAAAUUUUAAACCUUGAAUUACAGUCCGCAGUCCAGCUCUUCCGCAAUUACUGCUUUCUCGAAGAACUCGGUGAAGACUGGUUCUUUUAGCAGGAUUCUCCUGCUCGAAGGACCACUGACGAAACUGCUAUUUAGAAUCUUGUUGGAAGGACGAGUAGUGCUUGUGUUUGGCCUUGAGCCAAAUGAAUUCUCAUGUUCUGCUGUAAUCUGAGUUUGCACUUUUUUUCUUUCCUGCAGAGAGAAAAGAUGUUAUUGACAAUCCGGAACAAAUCCUCUAAACAAGGGGUUAAAAAUUGUUUGCUCUUCAGAACAAUCCUUUGCAGAACUUCUUUAGAUAUUCUUGUAUCCUUCAUCGAAUUGCACUAGAACUUACUCUUUGCCUUUGUUUCUCCUCCUCUUUUUCUUGCUUUAACAGAGUGUACUCUUUAAGCAUUGCCAUUAGAGGUACCUGUAAUUUUAUAAAGAUUGAUUAUAUAUGGGAUGAAAAAUUUCAGUUGCAUUUCUUUUAGUUGUAGUAUGAGAUAAUAGAAGUCUUAGGUAUUAAUAAAAGAUACAUAUGAUAUCAUAGUGUGUAGUUUGUUGGUUUGGUGCCUGAAAUUACCACAAUUUUGAUUGGUUUGUGGAAGUUUAUAGAAAGAAAAAAUGAAUUUGUGACAGAAAUUGACUGUGCAUGAUACAUAAAAGAAAUCAAAGUAUAGUUUCUGAAUUGAUUAUUCAAUUGACUGAUAAAAAGCAUACUUUAUGUCCUGCUUACAAGCUUAAAGUAUGUUUCAAAUGUCUCUGUAGAGCAAAGUGAACGUUAAAUUUAUGAUAUGUUAUGUAAAGAUUAGUGUAUUUCUCUAUGUGGAGGAAAGCAUGGAUUUUUGUGAAAGAGGUGCCAAGGAUUGCUAGGACUGAUAUAUUAUUCAUGUGAAAAAUGAGAACCAAACUGACGUGCAUCACUGAGGUGCAACACAUAUUUAACUGUGUGAAACCUCUUCAACAUCACACUGGAUGGAGUCAUUUGACAAAAUCCAAACCAAGAUCUUGUUCCUAGGUUUUCUCUCAGUGCCAUUCACAUUGUAAAGCCCAUCAAACUCGAGCAAGAUAACAACUAAGCAGGAAAGCUAACAUGAGUAUUUAUUCAUGUCAGCCUUCUUCUUGAACUUCACUACUUCAAAGAUUCUCUGUCAACUAUCAGAGUUAUUGAUCCAACUGUGCUCACAUUUUUCCUUUCCAUAUCAGUCUUUUUUUCUUUCUCUUUCACCGAAUAAGUCCCAGCAACUAUCUAUGUUAGCAGCAGCACCAGGGCCCAACUAUGCUUUCACAUUUUGCCUCUCCAUAUCGGUCUUUUUUCUUUCUCUUUCACCUAAUGAUUACCAGAAACUGUCUAUGUUAACAACUUGCCUUGACAUCUAUAUGGUGCAUGUCAACAACGGGAAUGGUUAUUCAAGGGUAAGUUGUUCGGUAUUUAAAUUCUUGGAGAGGACUAUUUUAUGGUUUGUAUUCAGGAUUAGCCUUUGAUUCAACUUGCAUUGACACUGCAUGAGACUCGUAGGCUAUUGGGUACCACUACAUGUGCUCUUGCACAUAAGUUGUAAGAUUGAAAGCAGAUUUGAAUUGGCUGGGAUGAUAUGAUCAGGCCUUGGGAUUGAUCGAAUUAGAAUGAUGGGAAUGAACUCGGAUGAAAAAAUAAUUUAGUAAUCAUAAAAUUAUAAGAAUUAUAUAUAAUAUAAAUGGUAGGGCACCACAAAACACAAAAUAAAUUAUGAGAAAAUAAAUAUAUUUUUUGUUAAGAAACCUCUUUAACAUCAUAAUUCAUAAUGUGUCUGUCUUUCCCAAAAAACAUAUGAAACUAUUAUAUAAAAUAUAAGAAGUUGUUGAAAAAAUAAUAAUGAAAAUGCUAGAGAAUAAUUCAUUAGAAAUAACAAUUGUAUAUAUUUUUAGAAAAUAAAUGUCAAUCAUAUUGUACAAGACUCUUAUAAUAAAUAACAAUUAUAUAAAUCAUAUAAAAGAUCCAAAAUAUAUCAUAACAAAUCAAGAGAAAACUGUUGGAUUAGUUCUGAAUCUUAUUACAAGAUAUCUAAGAUUAUUCUUUAUUCUUCUCUUUUUUUUCUCCAUAUAUCCCUUCCACUCUGUCAAAUGGUAGGUAAUGCAAUCAUGGUGUUAAUGACAAAUGUGAUGAUUGGGCUUUAAUUUUGUAUAAGCAUUUUGGUCUUGUAUAUGGAAGUUAUCCUAUAUGUUGACAAAUCCUCUUUUCCUAGUUCAGUUCAGGAACUUAAAUUUCAUCGCUUGUUCUAUAAGUCUACAGUUUUCCAUAAUACCUCAAUGACAACAAUGUUUUCCUGGUAAUUUUGUUGUUGUAAAAUCUCCGAGGUGAAUUUAUGCAACUGCAGCAUCAAGGCAGCAACUGUCUCUAUUAACUGCUAAAUUAAACUUUUUUCCUUAAAAGGGUCCUACGAAAGAAUGUUGCAUUUCCAACUGGAAAUGAUAUCUCCGUACAAUCCGAGAUCUGAACAUGGGAUAAUUUCAUCUCUUCUUUUUCCUUAGGUGAGCAAUAUCUUGGUCUUGCAUGCUCAUGUAGGCUGGAAACAUAUGCUGUGCUAGCAGCAACUAAUUUAGGAGAAAGAAAAAAGCAAGACGUUUAUAAAAGAGAAUAUCUUGAUUUGAUUUGCUUUGCUUUUGCAGAAAUUAAGUGAGAGAAUCAGAUCGACAUGGUUUUGUUAGCUUGUCUUGCACAUAGAAAGGAAGGAAAAAGAAAAAAGAAAUUUGCGGCAGGUGUGGAGCAUGUUGUGGUAAAUCCAUAUCAGCGAGGUUAUGCUACCAAGCUGGGAUUUAUUUCAUGCAACCCAUUUAUGUAGAUGUCAGGCAUAUUUCAUGUAAAGUUCUUAGUCCAUUUUGGUUAAAAAAACAGAAAAUUUAAUUAUUUGGAUACAAGGGUUUAAAUCUCAGUUACUAGAAUGGUACAGUACCAGUAUGUACUAGGUGAAAUGCCACCCAUACAGCCUGGUAUCACCCAAAAAAAAACCUGAACAUUAUUGAGAUAUAUGGUCUGACACCGGUCCUUGAUCAUACCAAUAAAUACUGGUUGGUCUGGUGCAUACAGACCAUACUUGAAAUCAAGCACAGUAACGACCAAUACUUGAAAUCAUAAUUGAAUAUAUGUUUGAUCAUAUUACAAAAUUAUGCAUCUACUUCAAGUGUAGCUAGCUUAGCUUUCAUGUUUGAACUUUAGUGGUUAAUUUAUUUUGCUGUCUUAGAUGCUUAUAGGCUUUGCAACAAGAAGAUAAUAGGUUUUAUGAUACUUGAUCCUUGCAUGCAUGAUUCUGCAAGUUGCAAAACUUGAUCUAUAAAAUGUCCUUUGCAAGUUAUUAAAGUCAUUUAAUUGCUUAAAUUUGCAUGCUCAUCAGUAAAAGUGGUGGCUAUGCUAUCAUGAGAAAGGAAACAAAAACUAAUUAAUUGCAUUUAAGUUUGUCUUUGGUAUUUUUUUUCCCAGAACAAGUCUUCUUGAGCAUCAUUUUGCAUCCUUCUAGCAGAAUAUUUUGAAGUAAAAUGUGAACUUAAAUAUGGUACUUAUUCCGGUAGAACAAUGAUGAAUAAGAUAAUAUUUGGAUAAAUUCAUAAAUGUAUUAAAGCAAUAGGUUCUUGCCUAACCUUAUCGUACAAGAAAUUUUUCAUCCUUUCCUCUUCCCAUAUCUCUGUCUUUGCCAUCAACAAUUCAACCAAAUCUGCAUUUUCUCGUUUUAGUCUAUCAUACAUCAUAUUUCUUAUUUAGCUAUAGUCAAUUCUUACCUGGAAUCUUGUUCACAAUAAUUCUAGCACGUUCUGCACGUUUCAAGUUCUUGUGAGCCCCUCUGCUCACUGAGUAACGGUUUUCAUCCUGUAAACAUCCAUAUGUCAAAAUUAGGAUUCCUCAUCAGCAAUAUUUAAUAGAAUUGUUAGCUUUGACAUAUGAGUUGAUGAAUUUGGAGAUGACCUUGCUGUAUUCUUCCAACCACUGUUCUUCUUCACAUGAAGCCAUCCAUUUUUCGACCUUCUCCAUAAUGUCCUUCCGGCUGCGUGCUUCUUCUUUUGCCUGGGAUAUAUGCUCUUCCAUAAUCACUAGGAGGUCAGCAUGGUCCAUCUCACCUUUGGUUCAAGGUUUUGUUGAGUGUCAAUAAGUUCAGCUACCAUUAAGAAUCAUUUAAUGAUGCAUCUAACUGAAGCAAGAGGCACACCUGACAUGAUGAGGUUCAUGAUUUUGUCCAUCUCUGAUCCUGAAGGUACUUCCAAAUGAGAUUUCUUGCAUAUUUCUCGAAGCUCACUGAGCUUUUUGAGAAAAAGCUCUUUCAUUUUGCUUGCUUUUAGCUGAUCCAGUCUCUCCACUUCGGACUCAACCUGGAUUGCAGUCAGAGCAGCAGUGUCAGUUAAGGAACCAUUAUAGACUACUAAUUUGUCUUUUUAAAACAGAAAAGGAAAUGCUUUAUCUGUAGCAGCAGUGUCAGUUAAGGAACCAUUAUAGACUACCUAAUUUGUCUUUUUAAUACAGAAAAGGAAAUGCUUUAUCUGAAGUUUGAUUUCUUAGCUUAAUUCUUUCUUUACCUGAUGGAUUAUAUCAAUGGAAAGGCUUCCUGGUCUUAAUAUGUGAUCUGUUGGAGCUGAUGACGUAUAUAUAUUCAUGUAAUAGAACUUCUGCCGGUCCUCAAUCGAUGUAUCCAUGAGAUUCCACAAGUUUGUCAAUGCUUUCCCAAGCUUGUAAAGCUGCAAAAUCAUUGUAUCUGUAGUUUUAGUGGAGUUGAUGCAAAGUGUACAAAAGGUGCAACAAUAAUGCUGAUGCAUAAAAGAUAUCUGCAUCCUCUGUUUAGUUCAUAAGGUAGUAUUUGUUUGAAACUAAUUAAAGAGCACUUAGAGGCUCGUUUUAUAUUUUCCUGUUGCAUCUCUUGUUUUUCCAAUAUUGUGCUGUCUUUUCUAAUUCAAUAAUCAUCUUUCCUAAUGUUGUGAGCAUUGUCAUAAAAUCACCAAUUCUUAAUCUUGAAACAUCAUUGACUCUAUUGCAGCAGUUCUGUAGCCUAAUUACAUUUGUUAAACAUGUAUAAUACGAAUCAUUUUGCUUUUAAUGUCUGGUAUAACUGUCUGGGGAUUAAUUUACUAAAUUAUAUGUGAGAGAGGCUCAUUUCAAAAUUUGUGGCAGUUAAACUCAAUCCAGAAAAUGGCUCUAUUUUCAUGGGUGAUCAAUGUCCAACUAAGGUUCAACCAUGGGUUAACUCCUAAUAUCCUAAUAAAAAUUCAAUUUUUCUCACACAAAAUAAAUAAAAAUUGCAAACUUAUUAUAUUUGGAAGUUCAAAAUUUGUGGAUGUUAGUGUACUUUUCUUUUGUUGCAAAGGAUACUAGUGUCAGAUAUGGAAAAUAUUUGUCUAAAUCUUCCUAUUAUUAUGCUUAUAAUUCUACUAAUAUUACAUUGGUGCAUAGCAUACAUCCAACUUGUACAAUCAAGAUCUCUUGAAUUGCUGUUUACCUGCCUCUGAAUAUCUUGCUUGUGUAAGUUUAUGGAGCACGAGGUGUAUCUUUGUGAGCUUGAAAGUGAUAAUCUGGUUUACAUUAUCACUAGUUUGGUAAGUCCAUCUGGUCACUUAUGGUGAAUAAGCUAGGUGUUAAUUUUUGUUAAACUAAGAGAUGGCAUACUGGUGGAUGGCUCAAGGGGAUGUCUCUCAAGCAUGAUGCUAUGACCCUGGAACCCCCUUGAGUUUACUUUCUAGCAUGAUUCUAUGAUCUAUGAUCAGCUUUAUGGUAUCCUGUUUUGUAUUUCUUGAAUAGGUUUGAUGUAUAUGGCCAACUUAUGAAUCUUUCUGCGAUAUGAUUAAUUAUAUUUAUUCAAAUUCUUUUCUUUGGUGAGACAUGCUUUAUGAAGUGCAUAACGUGGUAAUGUAGGGUGCUUUGUGAUGCAUUUAGAAACAGCAAUUCUGUACACAUUCAUUUUUUGUUAUUCCUGGUUCUGAGAUUUAGUUGUAGCAAUGGACCUAUGUUGGAAAAUAAACUCAUACCUUUUCUGUUCGCUUACGCUUCUCAUCUUUCAGUUGUUCCACUUUGCUGUUUAAUCUCUCUAAGAUGGUGUCACUUAUGUUCCUGGAUUGCUGUGCGGUUGAACCACCUAGUAAGCUUGGGUGAAUGUCACUGAUGAUCAUGGAAGCAUCCAUUCCCAUUGUUUCAGCAAGGUUUUGCACCACCUUUAUGUAAUCUUCUACUUUCCGGAGUCUAUCAUUCUUUCAGAGUGAAGAAUGGGUGAAAAUUAAUUGGAUGAUAUAUAGAAGAAAACCGACGCUACCAAGGUUAAAGCUACCUUCUCUUUAUGAAGUCUUUGGAGUUCAUUUUGGUGCUCAUCAAGCUUUUUAAGUGAGAGAUCUCCUUCGUUUACCAGAACAUCGCAAUCCGGUUGAUGACCUGCUACUUCAGAAGCAAUUCUUUGGAUUUGUGUCUGAACCUCCCGGAAUUGGUUCAUCCGCUCUUCUUUCCUUAGCUGCAUUUCAUGAAGUGCAGGAGUGAUUGCAUCAAGCUGCUGCUUCAGUGUACCUGUCAAUUUUUCAGGCUGCUCCAAGAGAAUUUAAGCUGGCUGCACAUUUGGUGCUAUUCUUUUCUUAUUAAAUAUACUAUCAAAAGAAGUCAUCUAUAUCUCACCCGGCCUGAGAAUGAUCGUUCCCCGAGGGACAGGAGAAGGUUAGUGAACUCAGCUUCUGAAUCAGCCAGUGCUUGAUGCAGACGAACUCUCAAGAUAUUUGCACUAUCAACUUUUCUUCUAUACAUGUCGAUACAUUCCUGUUCCAGUUCAAGCAGAAUCCUCUCUCUUUCAAGCUGAUCUUGCCCCACUUCAUCCCAAAUCAGCUGUUAGCAGUUGAUAAAAUGUUCAAAGAAAGUUCAGCUAGUAUCAAUUUCAAGAACCACUGAUAUGGAAAAACCCCAACCCAAACCUUUAGCUCUUGCAGUAGAUAGCCGCAGGAUGAUUCAGGGAUUGCUGAACUUGGGAAACCGGGAAACAUUCCGAAGGAUCCCAUCUCAUAAAUUCUGGAACAGUCUCAGGGAACAGUUUUGUCAAUGUAAGUUCUUCAAGUGGUUGUAAAACAGAGCAGAUUCCCCUGAUCAAGCAUUAUUCAAGGAAGAAAUUAGAGGUGUGGUAUAAAAGGAGGAGAAAGGUGGCAAAGCUGUGAUGGAUGGUGAAAGUGGCCUUCCAAGUUGGUUUUGCUUUGAAGACACGCAGCACAACAGUGAUGGUUCCUUUGAUGAGCUUCAAAGAAAAAUAUUAAUAUAUAUAUAUAUAUAUAUAUAUAUAUAUCAAAUACAAGUGCACAAGCUCGCUGGUUCCCUUGUUUUUGAAGGGCCAAUCUUCCUCACUGCUUUCAAUUGUUGACACAUCGUGUUACUGGAAGCUUCAAUCUGAAGGUUAAUGUGUUGGUAAAGCUUUACAAAUGUUUGUCUUCUUUUCCAAGGGAACAUACGGGUUGGCACAGAAGUGGAUCAGCUCCAUUUACUCGAGUCUCUGGAAUCAGCUGAUUUGCUUGUGAAGAAUGUCAUGCACUAGUUUGCUUCAAGAAAUGCCAAUUACUCCAUCAUUGAUGAGACUCGAAUGACAAUACGCACUUUAUUGCUUGUGAUAUGCCUGUGUUUGCACAUGCUCAGCGCAGCCAAAGUUGAGAUUCAUUGUAAAAUUGGUAUAUUUAAACAAAAAAAAAGAAGAAAAUGUUACAUGUAUGGGUUGAAUAAUUAUGCACAGAGCUAGCUGAUAUA